CAGCUUGCGCUGGUGUCUAGAAAAGUCUGCACGGCAGAGCUGACUCUCGGGGAGCUUGCACUUCAAAAAAAAAAAUCGCUGUUGGGAGACAGACAGGGUGCUGCAUUGCCAAUUCGGGGCAAGCCCACCUUGAGGAGGAAGGCGGGAUGGGGGUGGUACACACCUCAGAGUUCUGGCCAGAAUUCUUGUUUUGCUGCCGCUGGGUUUUUCCCUAAGCAGAACAGGUUUUUCUCAGGCCAGCCAGGCUGCCAUGAACUUCUGGUCCCUUCAAGCAGUAAACACCACCAGCCACGGGUUUCAAUCUGCACUCUGGCGCCUCUUCCUCGUUUUCUUUCAAACUGCGGGUUUGAAAAAUUGGAACGCUCGGACUGGAGAGGAGGCUCGGAAUUAAGAGCACUCGCUGCUCUUGCAAAGAACUCGAUCCUGGGAUGUGCUGAGAUCUCCACUGGUGCCUACAAAGAAACACAAAUUCAUCAUAUCACAGUUGCAGCUGGCUUACAAAACCAGAGAUGCUGUUUCUCCAUCUUCUAAGGACCCCUAUGCUCAAGAUGACACUGAAAUUAACUCAAAAUGGAGAAAGUUUUAAUUUUGCGCUGUGGAAUGGAAGAUAAAGGUAAAAGAUUGAAAGGACAUUGGACAAUCUGGUUCACAGGAAAGACUCAUCCUGAUGAAGAAUUCAGACACAUUGACCAUUCAGAGCUUUAGAUCCAAGAGAAGAGGAAUUGCCUUGACUCUAUUAUGUUCCUGAGUUUGACCGGAAGAGGUUCCUUGGCCUGCAGAGUUCAAGGUCAUCCUUGAAUAAACUGGAGACACUCUCAAAAAUGCAAGCAAAAGAAAGAAAAGAAGAAAAGAAAAAUUACCCAGGUUAUGUUCAUUUACUCUUGAUGCUGCCUGAAGAAAUCUGAGGCUGUUUGCUUCUGUUGUUUAAUGUUGCGAACUGUCACCCCUAGCUUUCCCAAGGUGAAACAAACUAGCCCCUUUAUCUACAGGCUCUUAAUGCUAGAAGGAAGCUAGCUUUUAUCAAGCCAUGUUCCAGACCGAGAGAGGACACAAUGUCCCUCUCUGGUGGCCUCACAUGAUAGCCUUCAUCUACAAAGCUGGAGCUUUCUGUGGGAAGUCACACUGAUCACAUGGGAAACAGACUCUUCAGGGCCACACCUCUGCAGUGAGCCAGCAGGGCUGAGAGGCAGCAAAAGCCUUCCGGAAGCAUCCUUAGAGCUCCACCUUCCCCUCUACCCCCAUUCAAAGCAGGGCAGAAGACCUGUGAAGAGUACAGUGGUUCGAAGCUAUAAAGGCACAAGAGAAUGCUUGGUCUUGCCGCAGAUCACAAAGCAUCCAUUUAGACCUAUCUUUGGUUUUGAGCUGCUAAGCUCUCACCACAUUUUGUACUUUAAAAUGUUAACAGGGGCUGGAGAAAUGGCUCAGCAGUUAAGAGCACUGGUAACUCUUUCUGAGGUCCUGAGUUCAAUUCCCAGCACCCACAAGGUGGCUCACAACCCUCUGUAAUGGGACCUGAUACCCUCUUCUGUCUUGCAGGCUUACAUGCAAAUAAAGCACUCUUAUAUAUAUAAUACAUAAAUAAAUAAAGUAAAAUACUAAGAAGGAGCUGGGGAAAUGGCCUAGUGUGCAAAGUGCUUGCUGCCAGAGUGUGAGUGCCUGAAUUCUGAUUCCCCAGCUGUACUGGCCGGUUUUGUGCGUCAACUUGACACAGCUGGAGUUAUCACAGAGAAAGGAGCUUCAGUUGGGGAAGUGCCUCCAUGAGAUCCAGCUGUGGGGCACUUUCUUAAUUAGUAACCAAUCGGAGAGGGCCCAUUGUAGGUGGUGCCAUCCCUGGGAGCAAGUCAGGGGAAGAAAGCAAGCAGAUAAGUAGCAUCCCUCCAUGGCCUCUGUAUCAGCUCCUGCUUCCUGACCUGACUUCCUUUGGUGAUGAAGAGCAGUAUGGAAGUGUAAGCCGAAUAAACCCUUUCCUCCCCAA